UCUCUUUUGUGCUGUCAAACUAACGAAAAGCUCAAAUCCCUCUUCCUGCGAAGGGACAUCAUGUCUCAAUGUCCCACUAGCGCAGAAAAAAAGAUUUUAAAAAAGGGAAAAAGAAAAUUGGCUGUUUAGCAAUAGCGAGUAAAAGUGUUCCAGAUACAACAGGAUACCCGUAAUCCAUGGCCAAGUUGGCUAUGAAAUUAAAAUAAGAAAGCUGAAAGGUCAUACCCAAGAAGAAGGUGGAAUCUACCAAGAACGAGACUUCAUCUAUAGAAAUUAAAUUAACUUGUGUCUGGAAUAACAAUAUGGACGUCGUAGCACUGUUUUUUGCCACAAAUAUAAACAAAUUUUAUGGACUAGACUUGUUGUAUAUAGACUAUAUGGGGAAGCAAGAACUCUGUCGUCACAUUCUGUUCUUAUGCCAAUAUGUACUACUGUGAAGAAAGCUGGACCUAAAUCAAAAGGACGUUCCUGGUAAUUCGUUAACAACAUUCCAGGCUUGCAUUUGAACAAUCAGUGAAGAACUGUUGAGGAGGAAAUCAUCUUGAAAAGAAGAAAGAGACUAUAUACCCUAUACUCGAUGUUACAAUGAAAAGAACUGACUUCCAAGACUAACGGUGCCAGAGCUUCUUUUGCUUCACUGGAGAGGUUCAAACAUACCUGACCUCUCUCGAUGUGUACCGAGUCUUCAGAGUGAGGCACACCCUUCGUAUUUCACAGCAGUAAGUGAAAUUCUUAGUUGAGCUGCAAUUGAAAACCACACUUAAACAUUUUCGUGAUCAAUACUUGUCCUAAAAUGUUGAUGCAUCAAAUUUUUAUUACAAAACUCACCAGUUUCGUGAAGAAACCAUCCGCUAAGAACGCCAGAAGUCGGGUUUGAUGUAAUAUGGCCUUAACAAUGAGAAGUUCCAUUAUUUUUUAUUUACAAGUCCUACUGGGUCAGUUCGAGUGCUGUAAAAACAAAAUUCGCCGAUCGUGUACAAUGUCUUUACUGACUACUGAUCUCUGACCGAUCACGCCUUGGUCUAAGUCAAUAGUCCACUCCUUCACGUUAGCUUUUUCCGUUAUGUAUGACACUCCCGUUGUGCAAAGAAACGAAUCCCGAGCUAUAUAUAUACGUGUCAGUAGAGAUCAUUUUUUGCACUGCGUGAUUUGUGAGCGUGACUGUGAAACGUCUUUGACAUGACGAUCGAUUUGAGCUUAAGAAACUUGUUUUGGCUCAUUACCAUCCUGGUCUACUUGAAACCAAUCCUUCCAUUCGUCCUUUUAGCCAACGAAGAAGAGAAGAUCAGUCCCGAGAAUGGCAACAGUUUAAUUCCAAAAACAAUCAGCGAUCGUGACCUACGCUUCUUAGGUGAGAAACCCGGGCAGGUGAUGAUGAGGUCGCUUAGUAUUGUGAGCGCUUUAUUUACCAUCUGGAUCUUUGCGGAGACGAGGGACAAGAAAAACGAAAAACAUGUCGACGAAUUCCUCGAAGAUUUGAGUUUACAGUUGGAAAACCUCAACUUUCGAAUGGAAUACGUCAAGAAUUCCCUAUUACAGCUAACUUGUCUUUUCAACGUCGCUCAAACCAGAAAUAAGGGCACCAGCCGAGAAUGUCUGCAAUUUUUUCAAGAACGUAAACAAGUUGCGGCUCCCAUUUCGGCAAAACCGUCCUACUCCAUAGCAAAUAGCCAUACCAAGAAAAAGAGUUCCUUGUCAAUCUCGCCCCAGUGGCCGGCCGAGACACAUUGAUUAAUGUUAACUAAUGUUAUUCCUUUAACAUUCAUCUGAUUGUAGCUUUCCGCAGCUUUCCUCACAUCCAGUUUCUGUUCUGCCCUACUUUUCUGACUAUUUGAUUGCCGCCCUUUUUUUUCGUUUAACAAUUGCUGCAAUUGGUUAUUAUGUAAAGAAGCAUCUAUUAGAAAUUUAACGGAAAAUCUUUGGCAAGAAUACAAUGUCAGACAUGUU
rnacentral:lncRNA from 1 species